GACGAACGCUGGCGGCGUGCCUAAUACAUGCAAGUCGAGCGAACUUGCGGGAGCUUGCUCCCAAAAGUUAGCGGCGGACGGGUGAGUAACACGUGGGCAACCUGCCUAUAAGACUGGGAUAACUUCGGGAAACCGGAGCUAAUACCGGAUAAUUCUUUUCUACACAUGUAGAAAAGCUAAAAGACGGUUUACGCUGUCGCUUAUAGAUGGGCCCGCGGCGCAUUAGCUAGUUGGUGAGGUAAUGGCUCACCAAGGCCACGAUGCGUAGCCGACCUGAGAGGGUGAUCGGCCACACUGGGACUGAGACACGGCCCAGACUCCGACGGGAGGCAGCAGUAGGGAAUCUUCCGCAAUGGACGAAAGUCUGACGGAGCAACGCCGCGUGAGUGAUGAAGGUUUUCGGAUCGUAAAACUCUGUUGUUAGGGAAGAACAAGUACGAGAGUAACUGCUCGUACCUUGACGGUACCUAACCAGAAAGCCACGGCUAACUACGUGCCAGCAGCCGCGGUAA
rnacentral:rRNA from 1 species